GUGGGGGAGAAAAAGGCUCCCACAAGGCCAGUGAAUCGUACGCCCCCCUGGAGAGGGUAAUUCGCCCACAUUGGGAAUUGAGACCCCGGCCCCAGAUUUCCUUCGGGGAGGCCACCAGUAGGGAAUUUUUCCACAAUGGACGCAAGUCUGAUGGAGCAACCCCCCGUGAAUGAAGAAGGGUUUCGGCUCGUAAAGCUCUGUUGUUAAAGAAGAACGUGGGUAAGAGUAACUGUUUACCCAGUGACGGUAUUUAACCAGAAAGCCACGGCUAACUACGUGCCAGCAGCCGCGGUAAUACGUAGGUGGCAAGCGUUAUCCGGAUUUAUUGGGCGUAAAGCGAGCGCAGGCGGUCUUUUAAGUCUAAUGUGAAAGCCUUCGGCUCAACCGAAGAAGUGCAUUGGAAACUGGGAGACUUGAGUGCAGAAGAGGACAGUGGAACUCCAUGUGUAGCGGUGAAAUGCGUAGAUAUAUGGAAGAACACCAGUGGCGAAGGCGGCUGUCUGGUCUGCAACUGACGCUGAGGCUCGAAAGCAUGGGUAGCGAACAGGAUUAGAUACCCUGGUAGUCCAUGCCGUAAACGAUGAUUACUAAGUGUUGGAGGGUUUCCGCCCUUCAGUGCUGCAGCUAACGCAUUAAGUAAUCCGCCUGGGGAGUACGACCGCAAGGUUGAAACUCAAAAGAAUUGACGGGGGCCCGCACAAGCGGUGGAGCAUGUGGUUUAAUUCGAAGCUACGCGAAGAACCUUACCAGGUCUUGACAUCUUCUGACAGUCUAAGAGAUUAGAGGUUCCCUUCGGGGACAGAAUGACAGGUGGUGCAUGGUUGUCGUCAGCUCGUGUCGUGAGAUGUUGGGUUAAGUCCCGCAACGAGCGCAACCCUUAUUACUAGUUGCCAGCAUUAAGUUGGGCACUCUAGUGAGACUGCCGGUGACAAACCGGAGGAAGGUGGGGACGACGUCAAAUCAUCAUGCCCCUUAUGACCUGGGCUACACACGUGCUACAAUGGAUGGUACAACGAGUCGCGAGACCGCGAGGUUAAGCUAAUCUCUUAAAACCAUUCUCAGUUCGGACUGUAGGCUGCAACUCGCCUACACGAAGUCGGAAUCGCUAGUAAUCGCGGAUCAGCAUGCCGCGGUGAAUACGUUCCCGGGCCUUGUACACACCGCCCGUCACACCAUGAGAGUUUGUAACACCCAAAGCCGGUGGGGUAACCUUUUAGGAGCUAGCCGUCUAAGGUGGACAGAGUUUGCCU
rnacentral:rRNA from 1 species